GACGAACGCUGGCGGCGUGCUUAACACAUGCAAGUCGAACGGAAAGGCCUCAGCUUGCUGGGGUACUCGAGUGGCGAACGGGUGAGUAACACGUGGGUGAUCUGCCUUGCACUCUGGGAUAAGCUUGGGAAACUGGGUCUAAUACCGGAUAUGAACUGCCUUUAGUGUGGUGGUUGGAAAGUUUUUUCGGUGCAAGAUGAGCUCGCGGCCUAUCAGCUUGUUGGUGGGGUAAUGGCCUACCAAGGCGUCGACGGGUAGCCGGCCUGAGAGGGUGUACGGCCACAUUGGGACUGAGAUACGGCCCAGACUCCUACGGGAGGCAGCAGUGGGGAAUAUUGGACAAUGGGCGGAAGCCUGAUGCAGCGACGCCGCGUGGGGGAUGACGGGCUUCGGGUUGGAAACUCCUUUCGACAGGGACGAAGCUUUUUGUGACGGUACCUGUAUAAGAAGCACCGGCUAACUACGUG
rnacentral:rRNA from 1 species